GAUAGCGAACAAGUACCGCGAGGGAAAGUUGAAAAGUACUUUGAAGAGAGAGUUCAAAAUUGGGGCGUGAAACCGCUUAGAAGAAAACGGACGGAGCCGUCAGGGGCCCUUGGGAAUCAGUCUAAUGAUACACGAACUUGCCGCAGUUCGGAACGCAAGUCCGACUGCGGUGCGAUCUAGUAGUGUUCACUGGGCGCAUUUCUCGAGGGUAAGCACUGCGACCGAUACGAAAGGCCAGGGAAGCGUUCGGAUUGAGGGCGAGACCUUUCGGGGUUCUCGUAACCAGUCCGUUCGUCUCUAAUCGUUGGACCGCAGUAUGUAUCGAGAGCCAAAGCAAAAUAUACGUCGGCGUAAACGCUCGUCGAGUAACGGAUAGUUGGUCAAUAGGUUGGUAUCUGCUCGCAGGUGCCGACUUAUUCGAUUCGGCUUUGAAGUUAUCGGCGACAUUACGACGUAUUGGCGUCGGCAGUGUCAGUGUCGGCCACCCGUCCGACCCGUCUUGAAACACGGACCAAGGAGUCUAACAUAUGCGCGAGCCAAUGGGUGGAAAACCCAAAGGCGCAAUAAAAGUAAACGCUUUUUCGGACAGGUAAGGUACGAUCCUAGAGUCGCGAGGCUUUGGGCGCAGUACCGUCCCGUCCCGACCGCAUAUCGGUAGGGCGGAGAUAGAGUGCAUACGUUGGGACCCGAAAGAUGGUGAACUAUGCCUGAGCAGAGCGAAGCCAGAGGAAACUCUGGUGGAGGUUCGUAGCGGGUUCUGACGUGCAAAUCGAUCGUCAGACUUGGGUAUAGGGG
rnacentral:rRNA from 1 species